rnacentral:rRNA from 1 species
GGAAUUUUGCCCAUGGCCAGCUGAUGCAGCAUGCGCGGUAUGAAGAAGCUCGUGUAAGUACUCAGGCGGGAGGAAGCGUUAGUAUACCUCGUCGAUGACGUUACCGCAGAAGAAGCACGGCUACCUCCGUGCAGCAGCGCGGUAAUACGGAGGGUGCAAGCGUUAAUCGGAAUUACUGGCGUAAAGCGGCACGCAGGCGGUCUGUCAAGUCGGAUGUGAAAUCCCCGGGCUCAACCUGGGAACUGCAUUCGAAACUGGCAGGCUAGAGUCUUGUAGAGGGGGGUAGAAUUCCAGGUGUAGCGGUGAAAUGCGUAGAGAUCUGGAGGAAUACCGGUGGCGAAGGCGGCCCCCUGGACAAAGACUGACGCUCAGGUGCGAAAGCGUGGGGAGCAAACAGGAUUAGAUACCCUGGUAGUCACGCCGUAAACGAUGUCGACUUGGAGGUUGUGCCCUGAGGCGUGGCUUCCGGAGCUAACGCGUUAAGUCGACCGCCUGGGGAGUACGGCCGCAAGGUUAAAACUCAAAUGAAUUGACGGGGGCCCGCACAAGCGGUGGAGCAUGUGGUUUAAUUCGAUGCAACGCGAAGAACCUUACCUACUCUUGACAUCCAGAGAACUUAGCAGAGAUGCUUUGGUGCCUUCGGGAACUCUGAGACAGGUGCUGCAUGGCUGUCGUCAGCUCGUGUUGUGAAAUGUUGGGUUAAGUCCCGCAACGAGCGCAACCCUUAUC